CUUGGUCAUUUAGAGGAAGUAAAAGUCGUAACAAGGUCUCCGUUGGUGAACCAGCGGAGGGAUCAUUACCGAGUACUAUAACUCAUAACCCUUUGUGAACCUUUAUACCUGUUGCUUCGGCGGCGCGCCUCCCGGGGCGUGCCCGCCGGCAUUAUCAGAAUCUCUGUUCGAACCCGACGAUACAUCUGAGUGUUCUAAGCGAACUGUUAAAACUUUCAACAACGGAUCUCUUGGCUCCAGCAUCGAUGAAGAACGCAGCGAAACGCGAUAUGUAAUGUGAAUUGCAGAAUUCAGUGAAUCAUCGAAUCUUUGAACGCACAUGGCGCCUUCCAGUAUCCUGGGAGGCAUGCCUGUCCGAGCGUCGUUUCAACCCUCGAGCCCCCGUGGCCCGGCGUUGGGGAUCUGCCCAGGCAGUCCCCGAAAACCAGUGGCGGACCCGUUGGGCCCUUCCUUUGCGUAGUAACAUCUGCCUCGCAUCGGGAGCCUGCGGGCUAUCCGGCCUCUAAACCCCCCUCAAGCCCGCUCCGGCGGCACCAAGGUUGACCUCGGAUCAGGUAGGAAUACCCGCUGAACUUAAGCAUAUCAAUAAGCGGAGGAAAAGAAACCAACAGGGGUUGCCUCAGUAACGGCGAGUGAAGCGGCAACAGCUCAAAUUUGAAAUCUGGCUCCUUCGGGGCCCGAGUUGUAAUUUGCAGAGGAUGCUUCGGGUACGGGUUCCUUCCGAGUUCCCUGGAACGGGACGCCAUAGAGGGUGAGAGCCCCGUCUGGUAGGACACCCAGCCCGUGUGAAGCUCCCUCGACGAGUCGAGUUGUUUGGGAAU
rnacentral:sRNA from 1 species